UACAUGCUCUAAAACUCUCUAUUCUCAAAGUCAAACACACACUCUCAAAAUCCCUAAAACCUCAUACUGGGUGACCAAGAUGACGAUUGUUUCUGCUAAUCCAUCUUCUUUCUUUUCUCCAGUUUAUGCUGCAAAAGACAACAAAAAUGGGGAUGAAGGUGUGCCAAAUUUCAGAGAUUAACCCUCAAAAAGCCCUAGUUCCAUCUCUCUGACACCAUGGCCAGAUCCAAAUUCAAUCUCAAGGUGGUCGACCAAUUACAUCUGCAGCCGAUGCUUUCUGAGUUCCUAAGGUCUGUGGAUUAUUUCUCAAAUGAGGACUUGUUACAAUGACAUUAUUGCAACUGGUUUUAGAUAAAGUGGUCCUCUAUGUAAUUAAACUAUAAGAAAUUUUGAAGUUACUGCUGGAAAUCUUGAAUGUUGUAUACCUAGUGUUUUCUUUCCAUUAAUACUUUAAUGGUCAACUGCGUGGAAUCAAAAUCUAGACGGGGUGAGUUUCUGCUUCCAACAAUAACAAUAACAACAUACCCAGUGAAAUUCCACAAAGUGGGGGUCUGGAGAGGGUAGAGCGUAUACUUCUACCUUGGGUGAGGUAGAGGUAUAUUUUAUCUAUUUUCCUUUCUGGGUUGAGGCUGGGUGUCCGGGAACUUGAAGAACAUGGAUAUUUAACAGUUGGUGAGUGGGGAGUUGGUGUCUAAACUGCGAGUUGGUGUCUAAACUGCACCACACUGUUUAUAUCAAACUUUAUCCUGACGCUAAUAGAAGUAAACCUUGCAUUAUUCGUUAUACAGGGUUGUCUAUGGCAUUGAAGUGACUUUCAUAGAUUCUCUCCUAUUCGUCACUUUUCAGCCGUGAGAAACAUCUAUGGCUACUCAAAUGACUUUGAACGGUUUGUAUAUUCUAUUCAGAUUACCUCGCAAUUGAAUGAAGUAGGAUAAGAAUUUCUUUCUUACUUCUUAUUGUCUCCCCUGCUUGAACUUUUAGCUUCCUAAAACUUUUUUUUUCUAAUUAUGUACUUUUCCCUUUAUUCUAAUAGUUGACGCCAACUGGUUUUCAUUUGAUGCAUAUUUUAUUGAUCGAUUAAUAUGUAAUUCCCCAAUCUCUUUUCUAGAUGACCAUUUGAUGCUCAACUAUUCCCUUUUAUUUCUUGCUUUUCUUUCUUCCUAUUAAAUAAUGCGAAGGCUCUUAUUUAAGCAUGUCUACUACUUAAUAUGUCCUUAUGCAUUGUUCUUAUGUCUAAUUUAGGGAGUGUAUUUUUGAUUUGUAUCACUCUGUUGAUAACAAACAUGAUAAGAACUUGAAAGUACCCUUCUCAGAAUGCGGCCUUUUAGCUGGAUUAUUUCAUGAUGUUCACAGUCAUUUCUUGUGCAGGUUAUAUUAUCUUUCUCUCCUGAGAUUUUGUACGCAUUAAAACCCUGUGGUUUUUUUGGGUAAUCUACCCAUGGAGCUUAUCUCUGUUGUCUUACAAAAAGAUUUUCCAGCUCAUCAAUCUUUUAUUGCUGUUGGUAAAACAAUGCACCUUAGUGGGGCUUCAUGGCUUUGACAAAAUGUGUGCUGCACUGAAGGGAUUUAUUUUUAUCUGUUCAUUUUUCAUAAGCAAAGUUCAUUUAUUUUUCACAAAUUUAUUAUUUCCUUCAGGGAGUGUAAAGACCAUUCAAAAUGAUUAGACAAAAUUCCACGCCCAAUUUCAAGUAUCUUCAUUUUAAUUUUGAGGAUUUGCCGAUUUGCUUUGGUUUUGGAACUAAACUGCAUAACCUUAAUAUAUACACCUUCCUGCCAAUAAAUUAUUGGAAAAAAAAGCUACAUUUUGAGGUACGGAUGAAACUGGAUCAAAUGAUCCCGUGAGGCUUUCAAACAUGGUUACUCUCACCUAAUAAGCUCGUAAUGUUGCGAGCUCGAUCCCUUCGCAAACUAAUACAAUCUAAUGAUUUUCCAUUUUACUGGUAGCACGAUCUUAACUAUUAACAUAGACUAUGGAUAUCUUUAAAGAGAAAUGGUUGGGAAGAAAAUGAAGAACUUGUUGAUAAUGGGAGUUUUGCCCUAUGUUCAAGCAUGAGAGGAGUAGAGGACCGGCAGCAUAUCUUAGUUUUGUGUUUGUCAACAAACAAAGAGAAUACUCCCUAUAUUAUAUAUUCCUUUCCUUAUCGUGUGUUGUUUCAUGCCAGGUAUGACGCUUCUCUUCAAUGAGCCAUCAGAUACUAGAAAACCCGACAUAAGAUGACGCUUGUAUGUUUUUAUUUAGUAUGUCUUGUAAUAUUCAAAUUUAAAAAACGUCUUCUAUGUGCACAAAUUGACUACGUGUAAUAGUUUACUUUGGUUUUAAAGUGGAGCUGUUAUUGGGUGCUUCUGUUUUGCAGGCGACGACCUCAAGAAGAGGUGAACGUAGGAAUAGCGAAGAUGACUCCUUAUCUAAAAUGAAGGAAGUUGAGGAGGCCUUGCUAAAAAUAAUGAAUUGAAGACUACUAUUUACAAGUCCAGAUACACAAAGUUUUGAAGUCUUCAGAGAAGCUAACAAAUUGGUUAUUACAUUAGCAGGACUGUUGGGCCAAACAUUACAUUUAGGAUGUUUAGGUUUUUUCUCUCUGAAGGAUUAUGUAUUCAGCAGUGUGACUUAUAUACCAUGGCUAUACAGUGGCACUAUUGGGAUGUUUAAUCCAUCUUUUUUAAUUACUUACAAAAUAUAUAUGACUG